UACGUAGGAUCCAAGCGUUAUCCGGAAUUACUGGGCGUAAAGCGUACGUAGGUGGAGACUUAAGUGAGAUGCGAAAUCUGGCGGCUCAACCGUCUAGACUGUGUCUCAUACUGGGUUUCUUGAGGUUGGCAGAGGCAAGUGGAAUUUCCGGUGUAGCAGUGAAAUGCGUAGAUAUCGGAAGGAACACCAAUGGCGAAGGCAGCUUGCUGGGCCACACCUGACACUGAGGUACGAAAGCGUGGGGAGCGAACAGG
rnacentral:rRNA from 1 species